UACGUAGGUGGCAAGCGUUGUCCGGAUUUACUGGGCGUAAAGAGCGCGCAGGCGGUCGUUCAAGUCGCGUGUGAAAGCCCCCGGCUCAACUGGGGAGGGUCACGCGAUACUGAUCGACUCGAAGGCAGGAGAGGGUAGUGGAAUUCCCGGUGUAGUGGUGAAAUGCGUAGAUAUCGGGAGGAACACCGGUGGCGAAGGCGACUUCCUGGCCUGUUCUUGACGCUGAGGCGCGAAAGCUAGGGUAGCAAACGGGG
rnacentral:rRNA from 1 species